rnacentral:rRNA from 1 species
CAGUCGCCGCGGUAAUACGAAGGGUGCAAGCGUUAAUCGGAAUUACUGGGCGUAAAGCGUGCGUAGGCGGUGAGUUAAGUCUGCUGUGAAAUCCCCGGGCUCGACCUGGGAAUGGCAGUGGAUACUGGCUCGCUAGAGUGUGUCAGAGGAUGGUGGAAUUCCCGGUGUAGCGGUGAAAUGCGUAGAGAUCGGGAGGAACAUCAGUGGCGAAGGCGGCCAUCUGGGACAACACUGACGCUGAGGCACGAAAGCGUGGGGAGCAAACAGGAUUAGAUACCCCGGUAGUCCCUGUCUCUUAUAC